GCGCCAUUAGCUCAGCUGGUAGAGCAACUGACUCUUAAUCAGUGGGUCCUGGGUUCGAAUCCCCGAUGGCGCACCA
rnacentral:tRNA from 2 species